UACGGAGGGGCUAGCGUUGUUCGGAAUUACUGGGCGUAAAGCGCACGUAGGCGGCUUUGCAAGUUAGAGGUGGAAAGCCCGGGGCUCAACUCGGAAUUGCCUUUAAAACUGCAUCGCUAGAAUUGUGGAGAGGUAAGUGGAAUUCCGGGUGUAGCGGUGGAAUGCGUAGAGAUCCGGAAGAACACCGGUGGCGAAGGCGGCCUGCUGGGCAGUUUUGCUGACACUGAGGCGCGACACGUGGGGAGCAACAGG
rnacentral:rRNA from 1 species